UAGGGAAUCUUCGGCAAUGGACGAAAGUCUGACCGAGCAACGCCGCGUGAGUGAAGAAGGUUUUCGGAUCGUAAAACUCUGUUGUUAGAGAAGAACAAGGACGUUAGUAACUGAACGUCCCCUGACGGUAUCUAACCAGAAAGCCAUGGCUAACUACGUGCCAGCAGCCGCGGUAAUACGUAGGUGGCAAGCGUUGUCCGGAUUUAUUGGGCGUAAAGCGAGCGCAGGCGGUUUCUUAAGUCUGAUGUGAAAGCCCCCGGCUCAACCGGGGAGGGUCAUUGGAAACUGGGAGACUUGAGUGCAGAAGAGGAGAGUGGAAUUCCAUGUGUAGCGGUGAAAUGCGUAGAUAUAUGGAGGAACACCAGUGGCGAAGGCGGCUCGCUGGUCUGUAACUGACGCUGAGGCUCGAAAGCGUGGGGAGCAAACAGG
rnacentral:rRNA from 1 species